rnacentral:rRNA from 1 species
GACGAACGCUGGUGGCGUGCUUAACACAUGCAAGUCGAACGGGAUUUAGUAAACAGAAGCCUCGGUGGAAGAUUACUAAUGAGAGUGGCGAACGGGUGAGUAACGCGUGAGCAACCUGCCUAUGACAGUGGGAUAGCCUCGGGAAACCGGGAUUAAUACCGCAUAAAAUCGUAGAAACACAUGUUUUAACGGUCAAAGAUUUAUCGGUCAUAGAUGGGCCCGCGUCUGAUUAGCUAGUUGGUGAGAUAACAGCCCACCAAGGCGACGAUCAGUAGCCGGUCUGAGAGGAUGAACGGCCACAUUGGAACUGAGACACGGUCCAAACUCCUACGGGAGGCAGCAGUGGGGAAUAUUGCACAAUGGGGGAAACCCUGAUGCAGCGACGCCGCGUGAACGAAGAAGGUAUUCGUAUCGUAAAGUUCUGUCCUAUGGGAAGAUAAUGACAGUACCAUAGAAGAAAGCUCCGGCUAAAUACGUG